rnacentral:rRNA from 1 species
AUUGAACGCUGGCGGCAGGCCUAACACAUGCAAGUCGAGCGGAUGAAGGGAGCUUGCUCCUGGAUUCAGCGGCGGACGGGUGAGUAAUGCCUAGGAAUCUGCCUGGUAGUGGGGGAUAACGUCCGGAAACGGGCGCUAAUACCGCAUACGUCCUGAGGGAGAAAGUGGGGGAUCUUCGGACCUCACGCUAUCAGAUGAGCCUAGGUCGGAUUAGCUAGUUGGUGGGGUAAAGGCCUACCAAGGCGACGAUCCGUAACUGGUCUGAGAGGAUGAUCAGUCAACCUGGAAAUGGGACACGGGCCAGACUCCUACGGGAGGCAGCAGUGGGGAAUAUUGGAACAUGGGGGGAAGCCUGAUCCAGCCAUGCCGCGGGUGUGAAGAAGGUCUUCGGAUUGUAAAGCACUUUAAGUUGGGAGGAAGGGCAGUAAGUUAAUACCUUGCUGUUUUGACGUUACCAACAGAAUAAGCACCGGCUAACUUCGUG